GCGAUUCUCCUGCCUCAGCCUCCCAAGUAGCUGGGAUUACAGGUUUAUGGAGAAGUAAAUUAUCCAAAGCACAUGGAAGAAUCCUCAAGCCUGCAAAUACUAUGACAUAAGUAAGGAUUGACAAACAAGCUCCAGUGACACUGUUUUAUAUUGCCUAUCUACUUAGAAACCAUACCUGCCAAAGAACACAACUGCAUUCACUGAGUGUCACGAACUUAACUCAUAUCACAGGAAGAGAGACUAAAGUCUGUCAACACAUCUGGACAGGGUUUUCUCACAAUUAUUUUCUCUGCUGGCCCAAUAGACUUUGUACCAGGCUGUUGUGUGUUCUCCAAACCCUUUGAAUCCCCCUAAAAAUAAUUUACUAGCCCUCAAAUUGUCACAUUUUAUGCAUCUCUCUUUCCCCAAUGAAUAAUGGUAUAUAACAUCUGUACACCAUUUGGUUAUUGGGAAAUCAUUCUCCUCUAAUUCCUCGAUGCUAUGCUAAAAUACAAUUU
rnacentral:lncRNA from 1 species